rnacentral:misc_RNA from 1 species
GAGUUUUACCUGUGUGCGUAUUGUAUAUUUUAUAGAUGUGUGGACUGUCAGUUUGUUCUGCGUGCGGUGAAGUUCGUGUGUAAUCGUUGUUGGUUAUUCGUCCUUGUGUAUUGUUUUGAUACAGCUCCUAAAUAUGAAUAAUACUCCAGACUCGGAAGGAAAUGGUUGCGGCAGAGGCAGAGGUCGUGGCCAUGUAGACUGGUCCAAACCAUUACGCCGGCCACAUCAGAGCACAAUUACUCCAGGGAAAAUACAGGAGGGACCAACAACAUAUGCUGAUUGUGCUGAGGCAGCUGGAUUGCCUGGAAAUUCUGAACAGGUCACUGGAGCAGGACUUACAGUCCAAGAUCCUCAGUGUGAAAGUCUUGAAAAAGAUGUACUAUGCUUCAUGUCUAAUUUUAUAAUGGAGGUAACUAAUUCACCAGGUAGUUUUGAAUUUGAAUCGGAGGUGGCACUGAGAGAUUUAAACAACUGGGCAACAAAUGCAUCAAUUACACAAAAAGUAUCUAUGAUGAUUGUUGAAGAGUCCAUCACACAACCAAAUUUUAGGUACAGUGGUGCAAGGCUUUGCAGCACAUUGAUCAAAAAAUGUCAAGAUAUGCAACUAGAUACAUUUUGGGACAGUUUAAAUUCCGAGUUGAAAGAAGAAAGAGAAAAGGCCACUGAUCUGCUUCAUGAAAAUCCAGAGAGACUUCGUGGUUUCCUGAUGUUUUUGGCUGAGCUGUUUGUGCAGCUUGAAGGGGAAACUUUUCUUUGCACUGAAAUUUGUUACAUUAUAGAUCUUCUGCUAUUCAAUGAAAUGCCGGAAAAUGUGAAGCGUGUAUGCCAGACGUUAAAACUGGCUGGCAGAUACAUAGAUUCGAUGGAUACUGUUGCAAUGGAUAGAAUCAUGAAUAAACUUUGUAAAUUAACAAAUAAAGCCACGUGUGAUAAAAGCUUAUCAUGUCAGAUAAUGUCGGUGGCAGAACUCCGCAGGGCAAGUUGGGGCAGUAAUGUGAAUGAAGCACCAAACCAAAAUUCAGAGUCCUCAGUGGUUAAUGUCGGAAGUGAUCCAAUUUUUUAUGGCCCUGAUGGCAGUAUUCUGUCUGCAGAGGAGAGUAAAUUCCUUGAAGAGAAUUAUGAAGAAGUAGGAACAGCUGGUGAAGAUGAUAUGGUAAUUUGGGAUUAUGAGGAUCCAAUGAAUGGACUAGAUGAUGCAUUUGAGGAAUUCCUGAGGUUCUCCAAACAGCAGUAAAACUAAUAACUUGUGCUGUGAAAAUCUCAUCACAAAAACAGUAAUUCUUGAGAUAUAGAACAUCAUCGACAUCAAUGCCACCGAAGACUGUCGACACUAAUGUCAACAUCUGACAUUAGACAACUAGCAUUUUUUUCUUGACAGUUUUAUACAUGCAGAAGGCUUGUGAAUUAUGUUUUCAGAUGAAGAUUAUGAAUACAGUAAACUCUGGAUUAUGUAAAUGGUGAGAAGGUGAUGAAAAUAGCACAAAGGCAAGAAACUGGAAAUGAGAAAUACUGUCUAUAUAAAAAUGUUUUGCAUUUUUGUUAGUAUAAAUUGCAAGGUCUUUAAACUUUCAGAAAAUAGAAUUUGUUUGCUUUCAAUAGUUCCUGGUUUACUACAAAAACUGCAAAUAAUACUCAAAUAUUUUGUCACUGACUGGGGGCUUAAAAAAUCAAAUCAAAUCGAGGAGAUCCAUUUCAAAAUGAGGAAUUACAAGAAUCUCAACAGAAGUUUGAGAAGAAAUGGGGACCAAAGUUAUAAAAUUCAGAUUUUACUGUAUUUUCCUUUAUAUUAGUACCUGAUUUUUUAAUUUAUACGAGUUCGCCAGCAAGGGGUGUGUGUGUGUGUGUGUGUGUGUGUGUGUGUGUGUGUGUGUGUGUGUGUGU